AUUUUCCAAGCAUCCCCCUUGGAAUGCUGGGAUCCGACAAGAAGAAUGAAAAUGAUAAGCCAGAAAACUCCGGAGGAGGGGCCCCCUGAGGACUGCCUCUCAACUACCAUUUGCUUUGGGGACAGCUUAGAGCUGGAUGUAGCCAUUCAGUUUGCUCUUGGGUGAACUGUGACCUGUGACUUUUCCCAGAGCACUCCGAUUUUGGGCUGGCCGGUAGCUGCUUGGGGUAGCCUGCCAGAGAUCAGUCACUUCUCCUGGAGGUGGGGAUGGGGAGACUUCCUGGCUCCAUGUGGUCCCUGCACCUGUUUUGUCCACUCGGAAGUAUGGUUUAUGUGCAAGAUAGGACAAUUUAGGCGAUGGCUGUGAACAGUACUGGUGAGUAUAGACCAUGGAGAGAGCAGGGGAGAUGCAAAAGGAGGGGCACGGGAGCUGCCGAGCCCUCAGAUCCCUUCAUUGUGCUCAGACAGGAUAUGGCUGAAAACCUAAGUUUGUCUGUAGUUCCCCAAAAGAAUGCAAACAUGAUGGGGACUAAAUGUCUCCAUACUUGUGCCAUCAAGAAUGAGUUCUUCAGCUUAGCUGCCACAGCCUUUCCUCAAAGGCUCCCUCAGACCAGCACACACCAAGCACCCAUGCAAGAAGGGGAGAAGAAUCAGCCCAAUGCAGGGACUGGGUGGUGCAAAACCACUGCUUUUGAUGAUGCUUUCCCUACAGGCUCAAUUUGUCCGUUUCCUCUGAAGUCCUUCCCAUCUCUGGAAUAAGAAAGAGUUAAAUGAAAGACAGGCUCAGGGGGUGGGACAUGGAUGCCCAAAGGGUCUGAGGUAGAGAGGGGACAGACCACAAUUGUGCUGUUUCUGACUCUGAUACCAGCCCGGCUCGUGGUCCAAAGCUGGUUGCUGGAAGAGCUGUGCAAGGGGAAGUCGUUGAGUCAGAGGACACUGUCCUUGAGAACAGCCUGACCUACAAAAAGAUGUGUGUGUGCGGCUGUGUGGCCUGGGUGGAAAAGGGGAAGGUGGGUAGGAGGGAGGGGACGAGG
rnacentral:lncRNA from 1 species